rnacentral:rRNA from 1 species
GACAGAGGGUGCAAACGUUGUUCGGAAUUACUGGGCGUAAAGCGCUUGUAGGCGGCUAUGCAAGUCGGAUGUGAAAGCCCUCGGCUCAACCGGGGAAGUGCACCCGAAACUGCAAAGCUAGAGUCUCGGAGAGGAUCGUGGAAUUCUCGGUGUAGAGGUGAAAUUCGUAGAUAUCCUGAGGAACACCGGUGGCGAAAGCGGCGUGCUGGACACCUUCUGACGCUGAGGCGCGAAAGCCAGGGGAGCGAACGGG